rnacentral:misc_RNA from 1 species
AAGAAAAAGAAGAAGAAGAAGAAGCAUCUAACCUUUGAUCUCCAGCUUCAGUUAUGUUUUAAACCCUACUGAAUUUUUUUUUCUCACUUCUUCUCUUCUACUCAACUCUAGUUAUCUUUUCUUUUUGUUUCAUCCGGUUGCUCUUUUUUAUUUUUUCUUCCCCUUCCUACUAUGUUUUUCGUCCAUCUUUUGCUCUGCUCUUCUACUCAUAUUCUGUUUUUCUUUUCCCUAAAUUUCUUAAUUUCUUUACUAUUUACUGUGAAAGUAUGAUGACAUGUUGUUACUCUAAAUUUCUUUUAUUGGCUUUAUGGGUUAAAUUUCUUAUUAGCUUUUAGUUUUAUGUUUGAUUAAAUUGAGUUGUAACUUGCAUGUUGCUAUUACAAACUAUUAGUUUGUGUUACUAUAAUUGGGAUUAUGCUAUUGUUACUAUAAAUUGGAUUUAUGUUAUUAUAAAUUAUUAGUUCUUUUUUGAAAAAAAUAAAUUAUUAGUUUCUGUUAUUAUAAUUGGGAUUAUGUUGUUAAUAUUAUAAAUAGGGUUGUAUUUUGCUAUAAGGUAAAUUAAGUUUAUGUUAUUAUAAAUUAUUUAUGUGAACAUAUAUUAUGUACAUAUUUACAAUUUUUUUU